AUGGUGUGUUUGUUAGUCAGAUAUGCCCAUCUGUAUUUUGGAGAUUUGCCUAGGGUUUUCGACCAUGAUUUGGGGGUUUUGGGUUUGGAGAAGGUGGCUGUUUGUAGGUUAUUUGGUGCUGUAGGGUGCUAUAUUUUGGUGCAUGUUGAAGAUGUUGGUUGUAUGGGUGAAUUACAUACUGAAAGUUGGUAUCUUGCAUCUAUUUCUUGCAGUUUAUGUGGAACAGAAAUUCUGAAACUCUGUUUUGCUCUGUUUUCAUGUAAGCAGACAAGCGCAGCAGGAAGUUUUCAGUGCAGUUUAACCAUGGUGGUUAUUUCCUUGGGCAAGGUACCAAUCGUUCAUAUGUCAAUGGUCAUCAACUGUGGUACGAUGAAGUAG
rnacentral:rRNA from 1 species